CUUCAAGGCCCGAGCGCGACGAGGAGAGGGUGCCACCGCAGAAGUGCUCACUUGAAAAAUUCUAAACGCGUCAAAAUAACUUUGAUAAACUCGCAAAGACGCCUGGCUCAGGGGAAAGGAAUGGGCCCCGCGCCCCGAGAGCCCACUUCCCGCGCCGCCGCCGGGAGAGCCACCGCGGGGCGGGCGGGGCGCGGGGUCCCCUCUGGCGCCGCUGACUCACCGCGGCCCGCGCCUUAAAAGGGCAGUCGCUUCCGGGGCCGACCCGGCGUUGGGGGGGGGGGGGCUCGUUGUCACCUCCUGUGCCCUCGCUCGGAGUGGCACCCCUUCCACUUCAAGGCUGACCGCUAUGCCUGAUCCUACGUCUUUCAACCCGCCUCUCCCUGGAGGAGGCCGUGGACUCCCACGGCGCCCGCGGUCACCCAUCCUCGAUGAGCCUGGACUCUUCAGCCUGGGCCCCCUCUAAACUUCUACGUGAAUGUCCACGGCUUUCCGGGAGCCGCUCCCUCAGUCCAAGUCCCUUGCAGCUCCUCCACUCAUCGCUGUAAACCGGCCGUGUCAAAGAGCUGGAGUCAUCGCCCCUGCACCCUCCCUAGCUGGUGACCAAGCAGACACCCUCCCUCUCCUUUGAACUCUGUCCCCUCCAGACUCUUGCUUCGUCGUUGGUCACGUGCCCAGGCCUCCUCUGCUCUGACUCUCUCAUCCACCUCUUCCGUCCUGUGAACUCCUGGGUCAAGCCUCCGCCGCACUUGCUUCUCAGCCCCUGUUGGCCUGGCUUCCUGCGUGGGGCCCCUCGCCCACCCAGAGCUGCCGUGGACGUGAUCAGGUCCUGUCUUGACUGAAAUCGCUGCCCCCUGGGUUCUUCCGUGGGUUCCAAAGAGCAGAUUCGUGGGUCCCUGAAAAAGCGUUCAGUUGUGGGGAGAGGAGGGAAAUAUUUUCUGGGGAAAGGGUUGGACCUUUCAUCAAAUUUUUGACAGAAUUUGUGACCUCUCCCCCAAAGAAAAGAAGCAACUGGCCUGUGGGUUAAAGUUCAAAUUCUUUGUGGGAUCCAAGACCACUUACUUUUGCCUCAGUCCAGCCUUCCCGACCCAGCUCCCAGGGCUGCUCUCUGCAGCCCGCACAUCCAGCCCAGCGCUUCCCAAGUAUGCGGGUCACAAGAAUGACCCCAGGCACCGGGUGAAGAUUCAGGCUCCGGGCGCUCCCCGUGCAUUCUGAUUCAGAGGGUCUGAGUGGUGGUGUGAGGGUGAGCAUGGAGGGAGCCCCAGGGAUCUGUAUUUAACAAGCAGGGGUUCUAAUGGGGAAAAGCCGGGCUAGAAUCAGCCAAGGGCUUUCUUGCCUCCAGACUUUUGCAUACGAUGGAGUUCCCUCUUCCGGAAUUUGCACCCACUCCACCCCUCCAUUGAUAAAUUCCUAUUUAUCCUUCAAUGUCCAAUUCAAACAUCAGCACCCUGGAUGAAGUCUCCUGUAAUCAUUCUCAUGUUAGAGAGGUCGCGGCAACGCCGCUGUAACACAGACCCCCGAAUGCUGAGGCUUAUCUGAGAGGGAUGUUUCUCUUCCCUUUCCCGUACCAGCUGGGUGGUGUGGGCCUGCGCGGAGGCUGUGCUCCCGCAGCUCAUCCUUGUCUCUGCGUGUUCCAGGUAGUGGCACUCGUCGCUGUGGCUGAAGCCAGGUCCCUGCCAAGCCUGUCAGCAGGGGAGGGAGAAGGGAGAGUGAAGGGGGGUCGUGCCAGUGUGUCAAGACCCCACCAGGACAUUGCACACCUGAUGGGAGCUCACACCGGCGAGAACUUGGUCACACUUAGCCCCACUAGCUGCAAGAGAGGCUGGGAAAUGUCGUUUCUAGCAGGGUGGUCCUGUGUCCACCUCUCACAGCUGCCUGCUCCGGCCGAAGUCAUUGCCAUCUGCUCAGACAGAAUGGAAACGAGGAUGUAUUGGGCACUUGCCAUGUGCCAGACAUUGUGAUGGCCAUUUUCCGACGUCAUCCCCUUUCACCUUCACCAGUGUUUUACCUACACUGAGACAGCUGGGCCCAGCUUGGCUGGGCUGCUGCCUCCCGAGUCAUGCUCUGUGGAAGUCCUCCGUCUCAGGGCGCCUCUCUAGGUUAGUUUUUUGCAUGUCUGCCUCCCCCACUGAGUAUGUGCUUAAUAAAUGCUCUACUAAGUGGUGAAUCAGAGUGGGUUCAUUAAAUUAGCUCAUGAAAAUUACAUAAUGUCACCUCACUGGGUUAUGUUGUAGGCUAUUUUUGUUUUUCCUCCUUUGUCCCCUGAGCAGUAAUUAGCUGUCAGUCCCUGCAAGCGCUCAGGCAGAGUGUGGACGCCCACCUCAGGGAGGUUGUAUUGGAUUAGAUGAACCCCAGGACCCCCACAGUCCCAAGGAGCUGUAUUUCACCUCCACCUCAAUCACAACUUUUGGCAAUAAUUUUCAUUCUUCCACUCGGCAAAUCUGUGCUAAGGGCCACCCAGUCCCAGGUCCUCUCAGUGCUGAGCACUCAGUCGUGUACUAAGGAGGCCCCUGCUCUCAGGAACGAGCAUGGGAUGAAAAGACAGAUAGUAAACCCACCAACAAGAAGACAGAUGGCAACUCAGACAGAGAUAAGAGCCAAGAAGAAAAUAAAAGAGGACAAGAUGAGAACCAUAUGCCUGACGACCAGGGAAGGCCUCUCCAAGGAGAUGACAAUUCAAGGGACACCGAAUGAGAGAAGCGACAGCCAUGGACAGCUUUCCCAGCAGAGAGAACAAGCCCCAGUUGGAGUGUCUGAGGUUCCCAGAGCAGCCAGGGUGGCCGGAGCAGAGCAGGCGAGGAGAGAGAUGGGAGAGCCAGGUGGGGGCCAGGUGGCACAGAGACGCACAGACCAGGGGGCGGGGCCUGUUCUAAUGGGACAAUAAGUCACGUCCAGCUAUGAGCCGGGCAGUGAUGCGAUCCUAUUUAGAUUGUUGGACAGUUGUCCCAGCUGUUGUGUAGAAGGUGGAUUUUGUAGAGCUGGAGUGGAAGUGGGCUCCCGAUGGGAACAUUUUUGAAUGGUCCACCAGAGAGCUGACGGAGGCUGUGACCAGGGUGAUAGCAGUGGAGACGAGAAGCGGCAGGUCUGUGUUCUGUGAACAGCCCACAGGUCUUUCUGAAAAUGCUUCUUUUUAGAUAGCUACCACGUCCUCAUCUCCUGGGGCAUUAACACGUAUCAUUACAUCCCCUGGAAUCAAGGGCUCACAACACAGGACCGUGUGGUGGUCAGUGUGACAGCCCCUCUCCCAGGCUUGAAGGCUGCGUCUUGUCUGACUGCAGAUUAUACUCAUGGGUGGGCUCUUCACCUUGGCCUGAAUCCCUCUUUGGGUAGAGGUGAUCAUGGACAGUAGCCCUGCCUCCAUCAAGCUCAGUCCCAUUGGAGAGACAGACAGUGAACAAAGACAAAAAUACAUGUAAAAUGACACCUGUGAGGAGAGGUACACAAUGUCAGGACACACAAGACGGGCUUUGACCCCUAAGAGCAGUCAAAGGAGCCUUUCAGGAAGCACUGCUGGAGCUGACACUGGGAGGAAGGAGUGGGGUGGAGGCAUGUCAGCAGAGUCUGACAUGUGCAAAGGCUCUGGGGCAGGAGGGUCAGUGUUCCUUCCAGGAACCAUUAUUGAGCAGAUAGCAAGGAAGGUUGGAUGGGGACCAGUGUGGGUGUGUGUGUGUCUGUAGCAGAAGAUGGAGGCGUUCCUUUAGGGUCUCUGGUCACCUGUGAGGAUGGGCAAGCAGCUCAGAGGCUUGGAGAGCAGAGAAGGUUGAUAAAGGCAUUUUGAAAACAGCAUUUCCCACACUAUUCCUGGUUUAAGGGAAAGCUCUGUUGCUGAAAAUGCAUAUUUGACCCAGAGAUAGUAAGUUUCAUUUGAAGCCAAUGGAUUGUGAUCCAAGUUCUGAACUCUCUCCACUAGCCUAAAAGCGAUCGUCAUAUAAAAUCAGUCUAGCACUGGGGCCGGCCCCGUGGCCGAGUGGUUAAGUUUGUGCGCUCCACUUCAGCGGCCCAGGUUUUCGCCGGGUCAGAUCCUGGGCGCAGGCCUAGCACUGCUCCUCAAGCCAUGCCGAGGUGGCGUCCCACACAGCACAGCCUACAGCUAGAAUAUACAAGUAUGUACUGGGGGGCCUUGGGAAGGAGGAGGAAAAAAAAAUCAGUCUAGCAUUUAUAAGCCAAGAUGGCACUGACAUUCUUGGGUAGGAUUCCUGAAUUAUCCUACAGAGGGAGAAGAAGAACAGCCCGGUCACUCCAUUUAUCCUGGUGAAAAUUCCAGGGCAGUCCAGAAUUUGCCAAAAGUGCUGAAAGUCGGUUCAAAAGAACUCUUGCAUACCUCCCCGUCCAGGGCCACCGCCUGCUAAACGCUUCCUUAUUAAAAAGAGAAGAUGUCUCUUCAGGCCGAUGAGAAUGAACUACUCGCUAGAAUACAGACGACACCCCCUAAUAUUUUUUUCACUAUUAACUUGGAGCACCUGGAAGGAAGGAAGGCCAACCUCCCACCAUGUCUGCCCUGCUUUUUAAGUGAGUUCACUGGGGAGAAACUGUCGCAUUGCAAAACUUGAGAAAUGCCUGCCAAUCCAAAAAGUUUCUGUAACAGGAACCAAUACGCAUGUAAAAGAAAAAUCAAAAAACUAGAAGGAGGAAGGUGCUUAAACACAUAUGCUUUAAAAUGAAAAUAAUUUUUUUUAAUAAAAAGAUAGCUUGGACCUGAUUUAAAAGAGAAAAAAAUUACAGGCAGUCAGGGAACAAAAAUUAAGAUUUGUUUCCUACAAACCCUAAGACCAUGUAUGCUGGAGGAGAAUGUGUGUGUGUGCGUGUGUGUGGGGGGGGGUUGCAUUAGCGCUCAGUUUCAGAAGUGUCAGAGUGUUCAUACAUAAUGAUACCCCAGGCCGUCCAACCCUCGGAACUUCUCCCAAGGAAAUACUUUGAAUGAAAAAAACCAGUUGUGUGCACAAGAUGCUUAUUGCUUCGUUAUUUGCAAUAUUUUAAAGAAGUUAGACUUUAUUCUGGAGAGAAUGGGAGCAGAGUGUUAUAUGUGAGUCAGAUGGUCCGGGGCGUUUACAGUCAGUGCCGGUGUGGCGGAAGGGUUAAAGGAGAGGAGGACAACAGGUGAGGCGCUGGUGAGUUGUUCUAGAUAAGGGGUGGGGAGGGCCUGACUAAGGCCGUAAACUCCAGCUUAGUGAGGAGAGCCUAGUCAAAGGGAUGUUUAAAGGAUCAUUUAAAUGUGCAUAAGGAGAGAGAAGGAAGAAUCUAGACGGACACUCAGUUUGAGUGGAUGUUGGUGUAGCCAAAGAAGAUGGAGAACACAGGUGAAUGAGUUUGGUGUCUGCCUGUCUGACUGUUUGGGGGCUGAAGUGAAGGGGUGGAGGGAGGAGGCGGUUCUGUUUGGGGUAUGCCGAGUUGGAACUACCCACAGAAUUGCCAGGUAAUGACAUCCAGGAAGACGCGAUGGAAAAUGUGGGUCUGGACUGAGACAGGAAGGUGGCUGGAGAUAAAUAACAAAUAAACGUUUUCCAGAAGAAAUGUGAGGGCGUCAGUGGCUCUCCUCUUUCCUCAUCUUGGUCUUCAUCCUGUUGGUUGGGUCUUUCGGAGGCAGCUGAUACUGUUGACUCCCUUCUGGAAGGUCUCUCCUCCGUGAGUCCUCGAUCUCACACAUUCUUCAUCUUUUCUGACUUCUACAUUCGUUUCUUUCCUUUCUGUUUUGAAGAUUAUUUAAAAGUAAAUAUUUCUCUCCAAGUAAUCCAUUUUUACUUUAGAAAAAAAAACACUAGAAAAUACAGAUAAUUAGAAAGAAAAAUUAAAGUCACAAAGCAUUUUGGUGUAUUUCCUUUCAAGUCUUACUCUCCCUUCCAGUGCUGUCUGCUCACUGGGUCGGGUCUCCCCCAGCACACACUCGGGGCAGCCUCUCCCUGUGAACUUUCAUCACAACUAAAAUUAAAUAAUUAUUUGCAUCAUUACUUCUCUAAAAAGCUGAAUCAUUUAAUGAAUGUAUUCAUAUAAAUGCAUUUUUUACCAAAACGAGACCAAUUGGUAGACAAUGUUUUAUAAUGUAUUUUCCUCGUGUAUUAAUGCAUCGUAACAAUCUCUACUACCCCUGUCAAUCUAUAUGAUCCCUUUGAUGCUACCUAGUAUUGAAUUCAACUGUAUAGCUGAACCAAAAUUUAUCUCAAUCUCUUGUUAUUGGACAUUUAAGGUAUUUCCAAAUGUUCUCUGAUCUGCUUUAGACGGCUUUAGGUGCACGUCUCUGCCUGCUUCUUUGGUUAUCUUCUCAAACUGGCAUCACUGGGUCGAAGAUUUUCAGCUUUUGCUGGAGGUUGGCAAAUUUCUUCCAAAAAGUCCACCAAUUUACACUUCUACCUUUUUGUUUUAUUAAAACUUCUUUUCCCCUAAAACAAAAAUAGCACAUAUUAACAAUAGACAGAACACAGGGGAGUAAAUAAAGGAAGUGUGAGCGCCUACAGUCCGGGCUGCAGCUUUACAAUCCCUUGGGGGUGGAUUCUUCCGCAUCUUUCCCGUAUUUGUCUAUGCAGAUGCCCUUGGGAGUCAGACGUUUACUGUUAACUAGCUGUGUGGCCCGAGGCGCGUUUCGUAAUGUCUCCAAGCUUCUGUUUUCUCACCUGUAAACUGAAGAUGGCAAUAGAGCCAUGUCACAGGUUGUCCUAAGCAUGCAGGGCAAGUAUGCUGCCCUGUGCCUGGCUCAUUACAAACUCUCAAGCCCUGCUCCCAUGAUACUGUGUGAACCUUUUUUCCCCGGCCAGUGAUGUAUACGGACAUCUUUCUUUGUGCCUAGUGGACACUUCUAGCUCCAGUCUUUUAGAUGAACCUCAGGCGUACAGCUCUAAUCACAGACUGUUGAUACCACCAAUGGUAUUUUGCUGACGUCACGUAUUCAUUUGGUCCCAGCCAACCUAGUUACAAGUUCCUCCUCCCGCUGCCCGUUCCCAUCUUAGUCACUGUCAUCUGUCCUGGAAGCACCAGGCAGAAACCACCAGAACACCUUCCUCCCGCUCCCACAGGUAACUGGGUUUACAGCAAUUCUGUUAUUCUAUCUGGAGUGCAGCUGAGUCAGACAGGCCUUGGUUGAAUCCUGGUCCUGCUCCUUACACAGUGUGACCACGAGCACUCACCUCUCCUUUCUGAGCCUCAGUUUCUUCGUCUGUAAGAUGGGGCAACAGACCUGCCACUUAGGGCCGCGGUUCUGAUGGUGAAGUGAGAUAGCUCGAGUAAAUGCUUAGCAUCACGCCGAUCACAAGCUCAGCUCUCAAAAGGGCAGCUGCAAUUAGCAACAUUACCAUUAUUGUUGUCAUCUCAGGCACCUGACCUUUGCUGUGGUUGCAGUGCAUUUUCAGCCCCUUAUAGCACUGACAUACCCCUAACCUGUCCCCAUCUUCAGCCCUUCCCAGGCCAAAUUUCAAUGUGCCACCAAGAUGACUUUUCCAUGGUGUGUCUGGAGCAUGUCACACUGCUCACUGUCGAAACUACCUACAAACCAAUGCCUGAAUUUUCUCAGCAUGGUUUCUAGCCUUGUCACUCCACCUGCAUUCUCUACGUGUCCCCCGCCCCCCACUUCCAACUCUCCCCAUCUCUGCAUCGACCUCCCGUCUAUCUCUUCCUGUACUUUCCCAUCCCUCAGUGUGAUGGUUCUACCACCUGGGCGGACACCAUUUCCCAGAACCCCAGCAGUCUCCCAGGGUGCUCAAACAUUCCUUCUGGGGCUGGUCUUCCCUAAUCCUGGGGGCGUUCACCUCCCCCUGCCCUGAGCCCCAUGCUUGGGGCAGCCUCCACUGCCCUCUGCAUCGUGGAGGGUCCAGUCUCCACCAUGACACUGUGCCCUUCUUGGGGCAGGUCCCUUUUUGUCCACCUCUGCAUCCAUCACUGCCCCCCAGCUCCCCUCCGCAAACCCGCAGUGUUUGUUUGUUAAUGGUGCUGUUAAUAAAUAACACUCCUCUGGGACUUUGAUGUCCAAAAGCUUGCCCACAGGCCAAAGGUUUUACAUAGACCAUUCACCUUUCCCAUGACUUAUUCUCAGAUGACAAGGGCAAAGAAUUCAAAAACUGCAGUGCCCCACCCCAGAACUGACGUAUCCACAACGGCUGGUUCUCGUGUGUUGUGAAACGAGCCUGUCUUUGCCGUCAUGUUACUGAUUUUUCAUUAUUAUGAGAUGAGCAUAGAAAGUACUCAAUGUGUGUCUUUCUUACCCAUGCAAAGGCAAGAGAACAGUUAUCAGUCUUGCCCACUGGCUCUCUGGGUGCACUACAAAGAGGGUGUGGGGCUCAGACCUGUACCCUGCCUUUCUCUCCUAAAGGCAUGUAAGUUUCAAGUAAAUCUGUUUCAUCCUGUUCAGAAGGAUGAUGCAACGUGACUAGAAAGGAAGUGGGGAGUUGCCUUACAACUACAAGCAGAGGAAUGUCACGUCGCUCCAGUGUUCUUCACAUUCCCAGAAAUAUGUCGUGGUUGAAAAGGAGGCAGAUGACUCAGCAUUCCCCUGGCUUUCGACAGAUUGACCGCGGAGCCCAAGCAGUGCUAAUGAGGACAGGCUGGCGGAAGGCGCAAUUAGGACGAGCUGGCCUGUCCCGCGAGUCUGGGGGCUGCAGGGUGCUGGGCAUGCGGAGAUGAACCAUGUAAACACAGCACAGUUUUCUCGAAGCUGGAUUAAGGGGCCCCUGGGUCCACGUUGCGUUCAUGUGAAUUCUUAGCUAUCCAGAGGUAUCAGACCAAACUCUGUGAAUUCGGUCGUGGUUCUGAUUGUUCACUUUGCAGUGGGGCCUGGGGCUGUCCUUAAAGCAGGCUCCUAUCCUAAACUUCCUCUCUUCUGUCCAGAAACCUGGGAGCUUUCUUCUACCUUGGUUAUUCCUUCAUAUUUCCUCCUUCUCUCAUUUUCCAAAUUAAACUUUUUUUCUAGUAGAAAGACCUGGAAAAUUAUUUCAAGGACAAGAAUUUGGCAACUGUCCCUGAAAAUGAAGCACAUGCUUUGCAGGGGUUUUAUGAUGUUCCAGAGAGUGGCCACCUGUUCCUUUCCACCCGCUCCGGGCGCCGGGCCACGGGGCUAAUGAGCCGUGAGACAGGGCCAGUGGCCUGUGUUGCAGAGGCUCUCGGUUCUUCAGAGGCCUCCUGUAACCCACGGUCUCCACGCACCCUGUCCUGCCAGCCUGUCGGUAGUCACUGAUCCAAGGCCCAUAGCCCAGAGCAACGCUGAGCUGUGGACACCUCCCAGGCUUUAUUUCCAAACUCAUAUUUACUCACCUGGAAGAAAGAAAAUUCAGAUUUCCCGAGGUUGCUGGUAACAACCUCAUAUCCACCAAAGGCAAAGGAGCCCCACACCGCCUCUGAAGGAUCCCUGAGACUCUCACCAGGCAAAGCCGAGUUUGUGAGGAGAAGCCUGGAAAGAGGCAGGUGGGCACCGGAGCCCCCACAUCCGGCCGCCAGCAUGCCUCAGCAUCUCCUAGACGCGUGACCACUGAAACCAGCUCCGCUCCGUGACUCUGUUUUUUGUCCAGGUGGCAACUAAACUGAUAAGGAGACAGCUCUCCCUGUACCAUGUGCCUCGGCGGUGGGGGUCCACAGCCCCCUGGAUGUGAACACGAGCCAGUGGAGUACGAGGCUAAGGGCUCUGGAGCUGACAGACCGGGUAGGGCUCCCAGCUCCCCAUUUUCUGGCUGUGAGAGUCAAAGCUCAUUAUUUAACCUCUCUGGGCUUCACUCUCUGCACCUGAAGACCAGCAAUAACAGUGCCCAUCUCAGAGGGGUGUGAUCAGGAUGAACUAACUCCGUAUUUUUGUAAAGUGCUGAGAACAGUGCCUGGCACAUCAUGAUGUUUGAUGAGUGAAUAAACGCCAAGAUUCCCUCCCCAGGGAAUGUUUACUACCAGGUGGUGCUUUUAAAUGUGGGGUUCCCCAUCUUAAGUCUUGCCCCGCGGGGUCUCUGCAGGUGAAAUCUCACGGCUCCACCAAAACCAAGUGUUAAACAUGGGCCGAGCCCAGCAAAGAGCAGAGGUCAGAGUGCAGCCGAGACGCAGAAGGCACAGAAAGGAAGGUCUGUGCCGUUGGAAGAUGCCACCUGAAAUGGUGAAAGCUGUGUUUCCCAAAUGAAAGAUUCAAAUAAUAGGAGAAGGGGCUGUUUGCAGCCUCUCUUCCACACCUCUCAGAAGAAUGCUCCUUCAAAGGGUGACAUCAGCUCUAAGAAACCAUAUUCUGGGGCUGGCCCGGUGGCAUAGUGGUUAAGUUCACACACCACUGCUUUGGUGGCCCAGUGCUUGCUGGUUUGGAUCCCAGGCACAGACCUACACACGGUUCAUCAAGCCCCACUGUGGCAGCAUGCCACAUGCAAAAUAGAGGAAGAUGGGCACAGAUCUUAGCUGAGGGCCAGUCUUCCUCAAGCAAAAAGAGGAAGAUGGGCAACAGAUGUUAGCUGAGAGCCAAUCUUCCUCACAUAAAAAGAAAUCAUAUUCUUCACCUUCUCACCUGAGAAUUCUUUCAGGCACAAGCCGAGACAGAAUCCACCCCCUAACCUUCCACCAUUGGAGUCAUGAGGUCAGGAGCUGGAGGCCCCCCAAGGAAAGGCUGUAGCUAAAGGCUGCAGGUAAGAAAGGCUGACACGCAAGCUUGCAUCCCCACCCGACCUGAGCUCUGUCACCCCUGGGCCAUGGCAGAGGUUCUGAUGGCUGCCCACCUCUGGUCAGGCCCUGUUUCCUGGGCAUGUGGCAGUGAGGACGUACAGGACCCUGCACUCAGAGAGGACCCGCACCUAGGGUUUAAUGCUCUGCGCUUGUGAUCUUGAACUUCUUAAUAAUUUUAUCCCCAGGCUUGCGGUUUGGGCGUGAUGGAAUGUGUGCAGAGGGCUUGGAGGCACACGCAUGGUCACGCACAGUCCUGCUCCCACGGUUCAUGGCUACCCACUCCCAGAUCCCCUAGUGUCAUACAGGACACAGAUCUCCUUCUCAGCCCCCAGUCAGAGACCACUGACACCCUCUGCCCCCCGCAGGCCCUGACCCCAGGCAAGAGGGGAGUCAGGGUUGGGGGCACGCACCUGCAUACAGAGGCUCAGGGCAGGGCUUCCUGUCACCUGUCGGGGGCGAGGUGGGUGGGUGAUCUGUACUCCCAGGGAGGUCUGCUUGCAUCCCCUAUCUGAGGGAGUACUCCAUUGAACAGCGAAUAAAGCACACUAUGACAGGUCGAGAGAGAGACCAUGGAAAAAGGAACAAAGCUUUUUGAAUAAGAAUUUUUGCACUGCGGCCCACAAAUGAUGUAGUGGUCCCGCCUCUGGCCUAACUCCCUCCUGUGGGCGUCAUCUCACCUCGGCUGGAGCAGCUGGCCAGGCUGAGGAGCUCAGGUUCCGGUAUUUUAGAGUUUUUUGUGUUACAAAGCUGAGGGGAGGUCCCCUUGUCAUCCAGAAGCCACGUGGGGUGGUGGAAUGAGCCUGCCCACUCAGCCCGCUUGCUGGGGUCUCGUAGUUUUCGGGCUUGGUCACCACAGCCCGAGGCCCACGUCACCUACCGAGCCUGACUUCCUCACCUGUGAAAAGAGAUCAGGUAACACGCUUUUCAAGAUCUUUUCUAUCUCUUAAAAUAUCUCAUGAUUCUGAGUACACAAUAAGGCCCAUUUUCUGCUUGUGAAAACCUCAUGUUGUAGAUAAUAUAAGACCCUCCAGUUUCCUGGCAACAAAAAACUUUUAUAAUUGUUGAUGGUGAAAAACAACAGAAAGGGGUCUAUGUUUGAAAGACCAUUCUAUGAUCCAGAUUUAUCGUCUGAGAAACUUCACUGCAUCUCGGCCCCUGGGCUUGGAGGACCAUGAAGGGAGAGGUCAGCAAACGUCCUUCUGCCACGGGUCAGGGUGGAGUAAGGAAGGCCAUGUAUAAGUCAGGGAUACUUAAAAUGGCUAAAACCCUCUCCGUGACAGUGUGCCCUGAUUUUCACUCUGUUUUAAAAUUUCUUUUAUUGGGAAAUUAAUUGAAAACGUGAGGCUUAAUUUAGCAUCGUAUCCUAAAUUGGCCAGCAUCAUGUUGGCCCAUGAGGUUUGUGCCACUAGAGCCUAGACGGUUAUUAUUCUCUAAAAGACUAUGGAAAUAUGCUUAGAAAAGAUAUAAGAAAGUUCCAGAUGGGUGACUGAAGUCUCCUCUUCCAGAUUGUCCCGUAAGUCCAAAGUCACCCAGAAAAGAGAAUACCCAGCCUGCUCCAUGUCCUGGGUGCUGUAAAAAUUCCCAGCAAGGGGUUAAUCCUGCUGCAUCCAGGAAAAACCUUUUCUGGGCUGAAACUGAGCUCUUUGACCCAUCCAAACCCACGUGGGGAACGUGACCCACAUGUAAUGUCCGAGAUCUUGUUCUCUACUCAAAUCUAUGACAGACAAUUUUCCACUCAUAAGAAAGAGACUCAUAUUCAAAAUUCCCGAAAAUUACUUUUACUUUUCCCUAAAGUGGGACAUACAGUCUAAGAAACAGUAUUAUCACCUCAUUAAAUGUGUCAGUAAGUUUUAAAAUUUGGGAUAGAAAGUCAGUUAACACUUGGGGACAUGCAAUGUUUGCCUGGGAGGUGUCCCUAUCGUGGCAAAUAUUUCCUACACUUCAGGCUGUUUUUAUCUGUAUCUUUGGAAAGGAGUUUGGAUGAAAUCGAGGAGACCAAUGUUUCCCUCUGGCAUCCUUCCAAUUUGAUGAAUUAUCCUUCAUUGUGAGAGUGUUGGCGUUCUUUCCUUGUUCCACGCAGGGGCCAAUAUCCUAGAACAACUCACGUGGCCCCAGUGAGCAAAAUUGUCCUUCGGGAUAGAGCACAGCUGGGAUUUCAGAAAUCUUGUUAUUUCAGGUUGUCAGGCUGGCCCAGGAAAAGGGCCAGACAGCUGUGGGGAAAGAGUAUAAGGGAGAGAUAGUCAUCAGCAAGAUUAACAAAAGGCUUUAAAGAUUGUGUCAUAACAACAGAUGCUGAAAACGGUUACAAACACACAUACUGUUAUUCCUUCUGGCCCGAGCGAUUUCCUAAGACGGUGAAAUUAGCCACGAAGGAAUUUCCUCCUUUACUCGGAAUGGAGUUUUGGCUGAAGGUCCAAGAUGUCUUGAAAGGAAGAGAGAAGACAGAGGCUUUGAUUUCAGCCCCUAAGAGUCUUCUGGAAUUUUACAGCAGGUGCAGCAACUGGGGGCAAAUAUGUGAUGGAGAACAAGAAGCAACCCUCUUCUCUUCAAAGCUGUGGUUGGUGAGGUCCCAGGGCUUGCUUAGGUAGGAAGGAUCUAGCCAAUUCCAGGACCAAAACUUCUCCCUCUAUUGACACAUUCUGGAAAAAUGACUAAACCUUUCUGUACCUCAGUUUUCCCAAGUGCAAAAUCAGAAAAAUUAUUUUAACCCAUUUUAUAGAACGGUUGCAAGGAAAACACAACCAUGGGUAACACUCGAGAGGGACUUUGCUUGUAGCUAAUUGGCACAUAAAUGCUUCAGACUGUCAGGCCCUGGGGAAGCCUGCAGGCCAAUCCUCCUGAUUGGAAUCUAUUGUCAGGGCAUUAGUAAACACGACCUUAGUGAAACAAAAGCAUAAGGAGACCAGCACAUGCACUGUGCAUUGUGCCAGAACUUUCCAUCGUGUGCUGCUGAACUGAGAGACCGAAUACUUCUGUCCUCUCCCUCGGCCCACUAAGGAAAGUAUUUUUAUUUCAUUGCAUACAUAUUUUCCUCCUUCCCUUGGUCAUGAAUCAGAACACUUUAGAGCCAGAAGGAGUUUUAGGGCUAUUCUCGUUGUUUCCCGUUUUACACACAGCAGGUCCUGGAACUAAGCGGCCCGAGUUUUCUGACUCAGGGCAUUGUUCAAAGGAACCACCAAGCUCAACCCAGCCACAGCUGGGGCAACAGCCCUGCUCACUGUUCCCACUACAGGGCGAGCUAGUGUGUCAGAGCGUUCUUCCUCGGACCUCGUUGACAUGCGUCUUUUUGUAGAAGGCUCGCAGUGGGCCAAAUGCUGAAGGGCUGGGCUCAGGACCGGACUCUGGGUCUGUGGAGGGAAGAGGUGGGAAGUCAACCGUUGUCUACAGAGUCCUGCCAUGUGCUCGGCGAUGUGGUGGGUUAUCACAUUGUGAUCUUCACCAUAAUCUUGGGAAACAGGCGGCGUAUUCCCAUCCAUGGCCAUGGGAAAUGAGGGUUAGAAGUGUAAGCAACUUCUCCGGGGGUGAGAGAUCCAGGCUUCCAGCCCAGAUUCCGAAGCUUGCCUUCUUGCCACUCCCCCUCGGGCGUUAUCAGAGAAACUGUGUCCUGGGCAGAUGACCAAGGCAAGGACUUGGCCUCAGGGAAAAGUCUGGGAUGGAUUCCUGAAAAUGGAGGAUAGGCUUGAAGGAACAAGGCAAGAAGCCAAUUCACAGGCCUGGGGUUCAGGGAGGACAGAGCUAACUGGAUGCCAAGACCGGAGCUGUGGGCCCUGGAGCCCUGCACAGCACUUGCCCUCUGUCCUGAGCAAACACAGCCCCUGUUACUUUUGACUGAUGGUGCCUUGACUCUGGAAUCUGGCAGCCCUCCUGACUUUUAACCGAACGUUUUAUGCUGAGUCAGCUGCCUUGUGAACUCCUUUUAGCCACAACAGCUGGUCACUGAAUGGGGACAUGGAACCCCCGGAUACCUGAUGGAGAGCUCCGCGUCACGGUACACAAAGGUUACAAGCAGAACCGUCAGCCUGCUGGCUUUUGAUCCUGCCUCUGUCACCUACAGCAGUGUCAGCUUGGGCAGGUCACUGAGGCUCGGGGUGCCUCAGUUUCCUCAUCUGUAAAGUGGAGGAAAUAACGGAUGAUAACUGUACCCGCCCCGUAGGGCUGUUUGAAGAUGACAUGAGUUAGUCCACAUAAAACUGCUUCCAACAGCGCCUGGCACAUAGUAGGUGCUCAAAACUAGGUGGUUGUCUCUGAUUCCUGCACACGCCCGUCACAGCACGGGGCAGCACUCCCCUAAAGGGACCUCAUGGGGACCUUAUCCAGGCUGGGGACACGCUGUCUUCUGAGCCAGGCCACUCCGUUUUUGGACUGCUCUGACUAAGAAAACGCUUCCUUGCUUUCAGCCAAAUCCACCUCCGCGCCGCUCCCACUCAUCCUUCCCAGCUCUGCCAGCAGGCAAAUGUCAAAAAAAUAUUCUCGAAAGAGAGGACACAGAAUGUAAAUAAUCAUGAUAGAAUCGGGUUGAGGAAUGACAGUCGUCCUCGCAGCUGCCAUUGCCACAGCGAGGCACAGCCCGGGGUGAAGUCAAAGACCUUCGAGUUAAAUUCGAAAACCGGCAAAAGUUCUUAGUUUUUCUCUGCUGCCUUUAGGAAUGCAUCAAACAACUUCCUUCUCCAUUCUCGUCAGACCAUAGCAUGCUGCUGGACGGCCACGAGACUGAGGGAAAAGUCGCUGCACGUGGGCAAAGGUGAUGGUCACAAGGGCGGCAGAGCUGUGACCUCAUUCCCUCGCUACGUGCGGGGCGCCCUGUAAUCGCCGGGCGCCCAGGGAGUGUGCUGGGAGGCGGCGGCCCUGGCGGGCGGCCCUCCUGUUUACAGAGCCUCUCUGGCGUCAGGUAUAAGAUCAUGACCCAUGCAGCCCUUCCUGCCUCCACGGCGUGUACUGUGACAUAAGACGACUGCACACAUCUUUUUCUAGAAAGAUUUGACAGCCUAGCUCGCCAACGACUCUUGUUAAAAUGAUUUGUAACAGAGAUUUUGAGUGUUACAAGAUGAAGAGUUCUGGAGAUCUGUGGCACAGCAACGUGAAUAUAUUUAACCCUACUGAAUUGUACACUUAAAAACGAUGAAGAUGGGAAAUCUCCUGUUAGGUGCUUUUCACCACAAUUAAAAAAGAUAUAUAAAAAAGAAUGAAAUGUAUAGAUGAAAUAAUAUGACAAAGUUGCUUGAAAAUGAUACAAAAAGAUGCAAACGUUCAUCAAGCUGUAGAAGGAUGAUUUAUGCGCUUUUCUCCAACAUUAGACGUGAUUAAAAAGUUUACGUACUGAAAAUAAUAGCAGAGGAGGAGGAGGUAAGGGGACUAUAGUUGAACAAGAUGAUCCGUGAGUUUGCGCCCGCUGCCAUUGGAGGGGUGCUAGUCUGUAUUUGUGUGUGUUUGCAAAUUUUCAUAAUAAAAAUUAGAUUGCAUGAAACAUUUACAAUGUUAGAAAAAAUGAUUGGAACAUUUCAAGAAUAAAUCACUUGGAACUCAGGACAUGGGUGUGGACUCCUCUCAGUUGCUUCCGGCGGGCAGGGGGGAAUUCGGUGCCCAGUACGUGAUGCAAGAACUGCCACGUCGUGUUUCUAAAUCGAAGGGGAGAUGGUAAAGAGUUCAUCACAGUUCUCUGAACAUGCUUCAGCCCUUCUACAUGAACAUAGCAUCGCUGAUCCUUGUUCUACGGACCACCUGCUAUGAACUGUUUGUCCAGGACGGCUAUGACCAAAAAUACUGAGGGUUGGUGGGGAUGUGAAGAGAUUGGAAUCCACCUCCCUUGCUGCUGGGAACCUAAACUGGUGCAGUUGUUUUGGAAAACAGUCUGGCAAUUCCUCGAAGAUUAAAUAUGGUGUCGCCAUGAGACCCAACGAUUCCAUUGCUAGGUGUGUACCCAGAGAAAUGAAAGUGUAUGUCCACACAAAAACAUGUACACCAUUUCACAGAAGCAUCACUCGUAACCGGCAAAAAGUGGAAACAACACCAACGUCCAUCGACUGAAGCAUGGACAGAGGAAAUGUGGCCCAUCCGUACAAUGGAAUGUCAUUUACCAUAAACAGGAGUGAAGUACUGAUGGAUGCUACAACCCGGAUGAAUUUUGAAACAUUAUAUUAAGUGAAAGAAGCCAGACAUAAAAGACCUCGUGUUCGCUAAUUCAAUUUAUACGAAAUGUCCAGAGCAGGCAAAUUCAUAGAAACAACAAGCAGAUUAGCGGUGCCUAGGGUUGGGGUGGGAAUGGUUUGGAGGUAAAUAUGGGGUGACUGCGAAUGGGUAUGAGGUUUCUUUUUGGGAUGAUAAAAAUGUUCUAAAAUUGAUUGUGGUGAUAGUUGCACAACUCUAUGAAUAUACUAAAAUCCAUUGAAUUUAAACGGGUGGAUUAAAUGACAUGUGAAUUACACCUUAAGGAAAUUGUUUAAAUAAUCUAUUUAUGUGUAGAGAGGCACAGAAAAAACUUUGCAAAGUAUUUUUUAUUGCAUUCAUAAUAGUUUAUAACAUUGUGAAAUUUCAGUUGUACCUUAUUAUUUGUCAGUCACCAUGUAAGUGCACCCCUUCACCCCUUGUGCCCAUCCCCCAACUCCUUUCCCCUUGGUAACCACUAAACUGUUCUCUUUGUCCGUGUGUUUGUUUAACUCCCACAUAUGUGUGCAAUCAUAUGGUGUUUGUCUUUCUCUGUCUGGCUUAUGUCACUUAACAUAAUACCCUCAAGGUCCAUGCAUGUUAUUGCAAAUGGGACAAUUUUGUCAUUUUUUAUGGCUGAGUAGUAUUCCGUUGUGUAUAUAUACCACAUCUCCUUUAUCCAAUCAUCAGUCGAUGGGCACUCGGGUUGUUUCCAUGUCUUGGCUAUUGUGAAUAAUGCUGCAUAAGCCUCUUUGAAUUGUUGAUUUCAAGUUCUUUGGAUAAAUACCAGUAGUGGGAUAGCUGGGUCAUAUGGUAUUUCUCUUCCUAAUUUUUUGAGGAAUCUCCAUACUGUUUUCCAUAGUGGCUGGAGCAGUUUGCAUUCCCACCAGCAGUGUAUGAGGGUUCCCUUUUCUCCAUCCUCUCCAACAUUUGUUAUUUUUUGUCUUGGUGAUUAUAGCCAUUCUAACGGGUGUAAGGUGGUAUCUUAGUGUAGUUUGAUUUGCAUUUCCCUGAUGAUUAGUGAUGCUGAACAUCUUCUCAGGUGCCUAUUGGCCAUCUGUAUAUCUUCUUUAGAAAAAUGUCUGUUUUGCACAUUUUUUGAUCAGGUUGUUUAUUUUUUUGCUGUUCAGUUGUGUGAAUUCUUUAUAAAUUAUGGAGAUUAACCCCUUGUCGGAUAUAGGAUUUGCAAAUAUUUUCUCCUAGUUGGUGGGUUGUCUUUUCGUUUUGAUCCUAGUUUCCUUUGCCUUCCAGAAGCUCUUUAGUCUGAUGAAGUCCCACUUGUUUAUUUUUUCUUUUGUUUCCCUUGCCCAAGUAGACAUGGUAUUUGAAAAGAUCUAAGACCGAAGUCAGAGAGUGUACUGCCUGUAUUUUCUUGUAGCAGUUUUAUGGUUUCAGGUCCUACAUUCAAGUCUUUGAUCUAUUUUGAGUUUGUUUUUGUGGAUGACAAAAAAUAUUGGUCUACUUUCAUUCUUUUGCAUGUGGCUGCCCAGUUUUCCCAACACCAUUUGUUGAAGAGACUUUCCUUUCUCCAUUGUAUGUUCUUGGCUCCUUUGUCGAAGAUUAGCUGUCCGUAGAUGUGUGGUUUUAUUUCUGGGCUUUCAAUUUUGUUCCAUUGAUCUGUGUGCCUGUUUUUGUACCAGUACCAUGCUGUUUUGAUUACUAUAGCUUUGUGGUAUAUUUUGAAGUCAGGGUUUAUGAUGCCUCCAGCUUUGGUCUUGUUUCUCAGGACUCCUUGGGCUAUUCAGGGUCUUUUGUUGGCUCAUAUGAACUUUAGGAUUCUUUGUUCUAUUUCUGUGAAGAAUGUCAUUGGGAUUCUGAUUGGGAUUGCGUUGAAUGUGUAGAUUGCUUUAGGUAGCAUGGACAUUUUAACUAUGUUUAGUCUUCCAAUCCAUGUUCAUGGAAUAUGUGGAAAGUAUUUUUAAUCAGAAUGUUAAUAGUGGUUUUCUUUAACUGUGGGGUUAUCUUAAAUUUCCAUUUGUGUACCUUCCAGUAUCUUUUGAAGUAUGUAAAGAUUGUGCAUUUAUACAAUCAGAGAAACAAGACAAAUCUCUUAACUGUUCAGGACUGUUUUUAAAACCCUUAGGUCUAGGACUUUUACAAGUGGGGCCCCACUCCAUCGCAUCAGACAGAUUAAAAUGCCCUGGAGCCCCACGUUAACUGUACUUCUUUCCAUGAAAAUAUUUGAAACAACUCAUAAUUUUGCCUUUGAAACUAUUAGGCUACAAAAAACAUUUAUAAUUGGCUUUGACUUUCUCAGCAGUCAUCAUGCAAACUUGGGAAUUUGUGCAAGGAAGAAAAUAUGUAAACUACAGACAGUUUUCCAAUGUGAUAAGAUUUUUAUGAAUUUGACAUAAUGUUACCUUUCAUAGACAUUUAAACAUUGUUUAUUUUUUUCAGGGUUUUGGUUUCUGUAUUUAGUAGCCGAUACAAUUUUUGAGGCCCUCAAUACUUUGGUGGGCCUGAGACAAGCUCAGAGGCCCUGAGCCCCAGGCCUGUGGGGUGCCAACAUCCAGGGCAGGAGCCCUCCCCAUUGGGGUGAUGUCCACCUGUCUGUGCCCAGUGCCUAACACAGGGAUGGGAAAAUAAUCUGAACUCACCAAGUAUCUUUGGAUUGAUAGAUUUAUGGAGGCUUCAAAUCUUUCAAUCCUCCUUAAGAAGUGUGAUUUUAUUUAAAAGUCUUUCCUCUAUUUCAGAGGAAAGUAUUUCCUUUAUUCUCCAUAGACAAGGAGAACAUAUGUUUGCAUUCUUCCAUUAAAAACCCUACAUGUUCUUGAAAAAGUAAUCAAGAUGCCUCUUAUCAACUGUUUUAUUGAUGAAACAAUCCCGGCUCACUUAACUAGUCCCUAAAAAAACCUAGUUUUGGGGCCAGCCCCAUGGUGGAGUGGUUAAGUUCGCACGCUCUGCUUCAGCAGCCCAGGGUUUCGCUGGUUUGGACCCUGGGCGCAGACAUGGCUCCACUCAUCAGGCUAUGCUGAGGCUGCAUCCCACAUGCCACAACUAGAAGGACCCACAACUAAAAUAUACAACUAGGUACUGGGGUGAUUUGGGGAGAAAAAGCAAAAAAAAAAACCCUUAGUUUUAUGAUCAGUUAUACACCCUGUCCAGUGUCUAUGUGUCAUUGCCAACUCUUACUGGGUAUAACAUUUCAUAAAUGUUUGACUGAUACAAAACACAGGGGAGGAUUUAUUCUCCCAAAUCAUACUGCUGUUUUCAUUUUAUUUUAAAAGCCAACUGUUACUCAGCUUGUGGUCAUCCCUGAUCCCAUGCUCUUUAUCUUUCUACCUUGGAUCUCGUUAAGUUUUUCCCCAUCCCAUAUUUAAAUGAUUACUCUUUCUUCUAUAACUACUGUCUUGGAAUUACGUACUGAGUUUUAUAAUUUUUAAAUAAAUUAAAUUCCAUUUUGUUUUACAGAAUUUUAGCUACUGGAGUUUCAAUGAAUGCACAGUUUGGCCAAAUGUUGGAUGUCCAACCAUUAAACCCAAUAUUUGACUUAAGAUAUAUGUUUCCCAUAAAAUAAACUUCCAGGAUAUAAUAGAAUAUCUGAAUAUUUUUUCUCCUGAGGAACAUUAGCCCUAAGCUAACAUCUGUGCCAAUCUCCCUCUAUUUAACAUGUGGGUCACCUUCACAGCAUGGCUGACAAGUGGUGUAGGUCCAUGCCCCAGAUCCAAACCUGUGAACCUGGGCCUCUAAAGAGGAGCACACCGAACUUAACCACUAGGCCACAGGGCCGGCCCCUGACAUUUUAUUUUAAAUAUUCAAGCAUUAGAACUUCUUACAUUUGAUAGUCAUAUUUUAAAGGUUUAAUACAGUAUGGAAAAAUCUCUCAUCACUGUCAACUAUAUCGCUCCUACAGGCACAGUUACAACAUUAAAUACGUGUUCAUUUUCAAUUGAUGACAGAAGAAUAAAAUAGUUUAAUGUUUCUCACUUUUUGCUAAUACAUUCUUCAUUUAUUCAAACUUUUUAUAUUCUGUGCUAUGUCUGGAUAGAAGGUAAUUCAUAAUUAAUAUAUUAUACAUGAGUUCAGAGACUUUCUCUUCGUGAGACUUUGAUGUUCUGCUUGUAAUUCAUCCUACAAGCCAUGAAGAUUUCCCAAAUGCAACUUUUCUCAACAGAUUCGUCACCUAAAUGGAUUCAGCUAUAAAUUUAUUAUAGUCUUUAAAUAUUUUGUUUCAUGUCAUAAAUGCAAGUCACUAAGCAAUUCAACAAUUAAGAUAUAAUCGAAUCUCUCUUACGCUGCCUUACACAAUUAUUUACAUUUUUAUAAACCUUUUUUGGCACUCUGCUCUUCUUAAAGUUGUCUAGCUAAUACACUCUCACUAUUCAUACUAAGAAUCGACCUAUCUCCCUAUUUGUUUACCUUUUUGAAUGUUCUUAAUAAUUGUCUUUACACAUAAAAUUAACAUUGCUCACAAUCAAUUAGUGCAGCAUUUUUUUCUUGCAAUAAAAAUUAUGCAUGUUUUCUUCAGCUGACUGAAGGAUUUGGGGGCAAAGAGCACAUAGAAGAUAUUUUCUCCAAGCGGCAUCUAAAAUACUUACCUAUAUCGUGAGAGAAAAUCUACCGAUAUUAACACAACAUCCCAAUUAUAAUCCUGACAUGGAGCUGACUAGUGACAAUCACACAGCAGGUCGGGGACGCCGGGAAUGGUGUGGAGGUGGGCAUUUGGCUCCCCUUCCAAAGCCAAAGCGAAAAACCAGAUUUGGGCCAAAUGCUAGGGCCAAAGCUAAAUUUUGUGCAACUCUCUAUCAGUCACAGGGCAU
ensembl:lncRNA